CACCCUCGGUGUGUGCCUCGAGACAGCCCCUCCCCUCUGUGUGCGCGAGCUGAGGGGCGGAGCCAUCGACGCGCUCCUGAGGAGGAGGAAGGGGGGGGGAGAGAGAAAGAGGGCGACGUCGCUGCUGCUGCCAGAGCGAGGGAGGGAGGGAGAGAGAGGGGGCGGCUCGCGCGCGCUGGGCACUUCGGGAAGGGGAGGGGGAGGUCGGGCGCGCGGGCGUCGGAGGCGCCUGGGACCCGGAGGGAGGGAAAGGGAAAGAGGGAGGCGGGCGGGCGCCGCCGCCGACAGACAGACGACGCUCGGAGAGCCCGACGCUUUCUCGCCGCCGCCCUGCCUUCCUGCCUCCGGAAAGAGAAGGACGGACCCUUUCCCUCACUAACUGCCCCCUUUCGAAAUUUCAGGAAGUCCAGACUAUACCAGGGCCAAGAUCUUCUCUGUCCUUUUCCUAAAGAGUGAAGUUGUUUUCUUGAGGCUUGCACCUCAGUCUCACAAGGAAAAAUAGCAGUGAGGGAGAAAGUAUAAAGGUUAAUGUUUUCAUCCACCCGGACAAAGGAGAAUGGGGACCCUACACCCAAAAGAAUGAAGACUCGACAGAAUAAAGACUCUGUAAGUGAAUUGUGCUCAAAAUGGGGGUGGGGAGUGAGGUGGGAGAGCAGCUGAACUGAGUGAUGAUAUCUAUGACCCUGCAAGAGAUGCCAGAGAUGUUGUUGAGCACUAAUGGAGAAAGGUCUGGACCUGUAAAGACGAUUUGGGAGGAUUUUGGGGUUUUGCUUGAAGGGUGUAAAUAUAGUUGUGCCUCUGCAUUUUCAGAUUUUAUUUUUGUGGAUUUGAUUAAAAAUGUUAUCUCUAGAAAUGUCUAGGUCCAUCAGUGUGACUCUAUAGUCCACUGCCUCCAGUCAUACUGGAGGAUCUAGCGAUUUCUACAGAAAACACCUCUCUAGAAUCUCUAGGUCCUGGAGUGUGAUUCUAUUUAUUUAUUAUUUAUUAUUUACUACAUUUAUAUCUCGCCCUUCUCACCCCAAGAAGGGGACUCAGAGCAGCCUUACAAAAAGGCAGCCAUUUUAUGCCAUGCACAUACAUAUAUACGGUAAAAAUAAGCAUAUAUGUUAAAACCAAAAAUCAGCAGCAAUAUUAAAACAAUUAUUAAAAUAUUAAAUUCUAUUACUUCCAGCAAACAUUGAUCAUAGAUUCAUGCUAGAAGACCUAUACAUUACUAGAGAUACGUUCUCUCAGGUGAAAAAAAACACCAAUUUCCUUUUCACUUUCAUGGGGAUCCUAUGCCUCUAACCAGUAAAUGUUUGAUUUUUAUAUGUAUUUUAUAUACCUAUGUACCUGAGGUCAAAUAAAAAUUUCUAGUACCAAAAGUUGUCUUGAGCAGAAAAGUUUAAGAAGCCUUGCUUUAGAGGGUGAGGUGGCUUUUAAAAUACAGGUAGCCCUCUGUAUCCACAGAUUCUGCACCCACAAAUUUCACUAUCCUCAGCUUGAUGAAAAACGCAAACAUUGAUUAUGCUUUCCUAAAUUAGACAAUAUUUUAUAUAAAGUCCUAAUUAGAGGGAGAUGAAUAAUUGUUUUUUAUCCAGUUGCUGCCAGUUAGAAGACUAAGCUCUGCCCACUUGGUCUCCUAGCAACCUACUCAGCCCAGGGGACAGGCAGAGUUAGGCCUCUUCCACACUGCCUAUAAGAUACAGAUUAUCUGAUUUUAACUGGAUUCUAUGGCAGUGUGGACUCAAGGCCCUUCCACACAGCUAUAUGACCUAUUUAUAAUCUUAUAUUAUCUGCUUUGAACUGGACUAUCUUGAGUCCACACUGCCAGAUAAUUCACUUCAGUGUGCAUUUUAUACAGCUGUGUAGAAGGGGCCUCGUAUAAUCCAGUUCUUAGCAGAUAAUAUAAGAUUAUAAAUAUACAGUAGAGUCUCACUUAUCCAACAUAAACAGGCUGGCAGAACGUUGGAUAAGUGAAUAUGUUGAAUAAUAAGAAGGGAUUCAGAAAAAGCCUACUAAACAUCAAAUUAGGUAAUGAUUAUACAAAUUAAACACCAAACAUCGUGUUAUACAACAAAUUUGACAGAAAAAGUAGUUCAAUGCUCAGUAAUGCUAUGUUGUAAUUUCUGUAUUUACAAAUUUAGCACCAAAAUAUCACAAUGAAUUUAAAACAUUGACUACAAAAACAUCGACUACUAAAAGGCAGACUGCGUUGAAUAAUCCAGAACACUGGAUAAGCAUAUGUUGGAUAAGUGAGAUUCUACUGUAAAAUGAAAUAAUUACUGUGGUAAUCCAGUCCAACCCAAUUCUGCCAUGGAGGACAC
rnacentral:lncRNA from 1 species